GAAACAAUAUUAAUGCAGUCUGGAGCACUAUCACCGUAUAUUUGUGGAUAAUAAUAUUUAACCAAUUGCAUCUUAAAUCUCGGGUCUAAGAUAGCUGCAAUCGCCAAAGCCAAGCUACAUUUUUUCCAGUACUCAUCAAAUCUGCUUUUCAACUUUAGAGCCAAAGAAUUAACAAAAUCAUCUGAGUUUUGACACCACUCAAUCAACUGCAAGUGAAUAUCACAGAUAUCUGGGAAAUAUGUAUUUGCCGUAGGAUACUUGCUUCCCGCAAAAACAUUGGAAACCUCAACAAAGAGCUUUAGGAAGCUAGCAAUGGCACUUAUCCUAUCCCACUCUGUCACAGUUGGACACAUUGCAUACCGAGAAUCUUGUUCUUGCAAAAGAGGAAAUGCGUCUUUGUACUCCAAAGCAGUUUCAACCAUGAUAUAAGUUGAGUUCCAAUAAAAUGAAUUAUCAAGAUUCAGACACUUCCGGGAAUCAACCCCAGCAAUUUGAGCCAUCUCAGUGAACUUUUCCUGGGUUGCCUGUGAACUUCGAACAUACCGAAUACUUUCCCGGACCUUGUGGAUUAUCUGGCUUGCUGUUUCUAAGGUAUCUUGGACCAUCAACUUGAUAACAUUAGCUGCACAGCGUGUAUCAAAUAAUUGGCCAUCACAAUAAAGAAACCUGUGUUGACAAAGCUGCUCUCUGAUUCUACUAACAAUUUUGUCAUAUGUCGAGUAGUUAUCAAAUGUCACUGAAAA
rnacentral:misc_RNA from 1 species